rnacentral:rRNA from 2 species
GGAAAGAUGAAAAGAACUUUGAAAAGAGAGUUAAACAGUACGUGAAAGUGUUGAAAGGGAAACGAUUGAAGUCAGUCAUACCAACGGGAAAUCAACCUUUUGAGCUUUGUCUCGUGAGUUUGAAGAGUUUAAACGCCUUCGGGUUUGCGAGAUUGGGAUCUUCUGGUAUACUUUCUCGUACGGUUAGUCAACAUCGGUUUUGAAUGUCAUAAAAUGACUGGAGGAAUGUAGCUUCGAUCUCGUAUCGAAGUGUUAUAGCCUUUGGUAGAUGUGAUGUUUGAGACCGAGGAUUGCAACGGAUACCCUUCAUGGGCUAUUCGUCUGAUCUCUGAUACGUUGCCUUGACGUUGAAAGCUUGCUUAUGAUGUUAGGGUAUUACGGUCAAAAGGUUAGAACGGAUUAAAUUCGUUAAGGAUGUUGACGUAAUGACUUUAAACGACCCGUCUUGAAACACGGACCA